GAUGAACGCUGGCGGCGUGCCUAAUACAUGCAAGUCGAGCGAACAGACGAGGAGCUUGCUCCUCUGACGCUAGCGGCGGACGGGUGAGUAACACGUGGAUAACCUACCUAUAAGACUGGGAUAACUUCGGGAAACCGGAGCUAAUACCGGAUAAUAUAUUGAACCGCAUGGUUCAAUAGUGAAAGACGGUUUUGCUGUCACUUAUAGAUGGAUCCGCGCCGCAUUAGCUAGUUGGUAAGGUAACGGCUUACCAAGGCAACGAUGCGUAGCCGACCUGAGAGGGUGAUCGGCCACACUGGAACUGAGACACGGUCCAGACUCCUACGGGAGGCAGCAGUAGGGAAUCUUCCGCAAUGGGCGAAAGCCUGACGGAGCAACGCCGCGUGAGUGAUGAAGGUCUUCGGAUCGUAAAACUCUGUUAUUAGGGAAGGACAAAUGUGUAAGUAACUAUGCACGUCUUGACGGUACCUAAUCAGAAAGCCACGGCUAACUACGUG
rnacentral:rRNA from 1 species